AUUCCAGCUCCAAUAGCGUAUAUUAAAGUUGUUGCGGUAAAAAAGCUCGUAGUUGGAUUUCUACCGAAGAUAGCCGGUCGGGUCUUCGACCUUGUAUCUGGUUUUGUCUUUGGUAUCCUCAUGGGGAACGUUGCUGCGCUUCACUGCGUGGUGCGGUAUCCAUGACUUUUACUUUGAGGAAAUUAGAGUGUUCACGGCAGGCAAACGCCCUGAAUAUAUUAGCAUGGAAUAAUAACAUAGGAUCUUCGUCCUAUUUUGUUGGUUUCUAGGGCUAAGAUAAUGAUUAAUAGGGAUAAUUGGGGGCAUCUGUAUCAACGCGUCAGAGGUGGAAUUCUUGGAUUGCGUUGCGACAAACUACUGCGAAAGCAUUUGCCAAGGAUGUUUUCAUUG
rnacentral:rRNA from 1 species